rnacentral:rRNA from 1 species
UACGGGGGGUGCGAGCGUUGUCCGGAAUCACUGGGCGUAAAGGGCGCGUAGGUGGCCUGAUAAGGGUGUGGUGAAAGUCCGGGGCUCAACCCCGGAUCGGCCGUGCCGACUGUUAGGCUAGAGUACUGUAGGGGCAGGCGGAAUUCCGGGUGUAGCGGUGGAAUGCGUAGAGAUCAGGAGGAACACCGGUGGCGAAGGCGGGUCUCUGGGCAGUAACUGACGCUGAGGAGCGAAAGCGUGGGGAGCGAACAGG